AAUAAGUGCAAUUUUGCACUAUUCAUCUUCAACGUUUGACCGUUCAUCUUAUGUGAAAAAUUUUUAUGAUUACUAUUUUUAUUAUUAUUAAAUGAUAAAAUAUGAAUAGUAUUUUAUGUGUGACUAUUCUUUAAAAAAGUUUUUAUAAAUAUUUCAAAUAAGACGGACGGUCAAAUGUUGGACAAAGAUUUACA
rfam:Oryza glaberrima chromosome 4 Oglab04_0101_11, whole genome shotgun sequence.